AGCGGUAGCACAGAGAGCUUGCUCUCGGGUGACGAGCGGCGGACGGGUGAGUAAUGUCUGGGAAACUGCCUGAUGGAGGGGGAUAACUACUGGAAACGGUAGCUAAUACCGCAUAAUGUCGCAAGACCAAAGUGGGGGACCUUCGGGCCUCAUGCCAUCAGAUGUGCCCAGAUGGGAUUAGCUAGUAGGUGGGGUAACGGCUCACCUAGGCGACGAUCCCUAGCUGGUCUGAGAGGAUGACCAGCCACACUGGAACUGAGACACGGUCCAGACUCCUACGGGAGGCAGCAGUGGGGAAUAUUGCACAAUGGGCGCAAGCCUGAUGCAGCCAUGCCGCGUGUGUGAAGAAGGCCUUCGGGUUGUAAAGCACUUUCAGCGGGGAGGAAGGCGUUAAGGUUAAUAACCUUGUCGAUUGACGUUACCCGCAGAAGAAGCACCGGCUAACUCCGUGCCAGCAGCCGCGGUAAUACGGAGGGUGCAAGCGUUAAUCGGAAUUACUGGGCGUAAAGCGCACGCAGGCGGUCUGUCAAGUCGGAUGUGAAAUCCCCGGGCUCAACCUGGGAACUGCAUUCGAAACUGGCAGGCUAGAGUCUUGUAGAGGGGGGUAGAAUUCCAGGUGUAGCGGUGAAAUGCGUAGAGAUCUGGAGGAAUACCGGUGGCGAAGGCGGCCCCCUGGACAAAGACUGACGCUCAGGUGCGAAAGCGUGGGGAGCAAACAGGAUUAGAUACCCUGGUAGUCCACGCCGUAAACGAUGUCGAUUUGGAGGUUGUGCCCUUGAGGCGUGGCUUCCGGAGCUAACGCGUUAAAUCGACCGCCUGGGGAGUACGGCCGCAAGGUUAAAACUCAAAUGAAUUGACGGGGGCCCGCACAAGCGGUGGAGCAUGUGGUUUAAUUCGAUGCAACGCGAAGAACCUUACCUGGUCUUGACAUCCACAGAACUUUCCAGAGAUGGAUUGGUGCCUUCGGGAACUGUGAGACAGGUGCUGCAUGGCUGUCGUCAGCUCGUGUUGUGAAAUGUUGGGUUAAGUCCCGCAACGAGCGCAACCCUUAUCCUUUGUUGCCAGCGGUUAGGCCGGGAACUCAAAGGAGACUGCCAGUGAUAAACUGGAGGAAGGUGGGGAUGACGUCAAGUCAUCAUGGCCCUUACGACCAGGGCUACACACGUGCUACAAUGGCAUAUACAAAGAGAAGCGACCUCGCGAGAGCAAGCGGACCUCAUAAAGUAUGUCGUAGUCCGGAUUGGAGUCUGCAACUCGACUCCAUGAAGUCGGAAUCGCUAGUAAUCGUAGAUCAGAAUGCUACGGUGAAUACGUUCCCGGGCCUUGUACACACCGCCCGUCACACCAUGGGAGUGGGUUGCAAAAGAAGUAGGUAGCUUAACCUUCGG
rnacentral:rRNA from 1 species